rnacentral:rRNA from 1 species
AGUGAACGCUGGCGGUAGGCCUAACACAUGCAAGUCGAACGGCAGCACAGUAAGAGCUUGCUCUUACGGGUGGCGAGUGGCGGACGGGUGAGGAAUACAUCGGAAUCUACUUUUUCGUGGGGGAUAACGUAGGGAAACUUACGCUAAUACCGCAUACGACCUACGGGUGAAAGCAGGGGAUCUUCGGACCUUGCGCGAUUGAAUGAGCCGAUGUCGGAUUAGCUAGUUGGCGGGGUAAAGGCCCACCAAGGCGACGAUCCGUAGCUGGUCUGAGAGGGUGAGCAGCCACACUGGAAGUGAGACACGGUCCAGACUCCUACGGGAGGCAGCAGUGGGGAAUAUUGGACAAUGGGCGCAAGCCUGAUCCAGCCAUACCGCGUGGGUGAAGAAGGCCUUCGGGUUGUAAAGCCCUUUUGUUGGGAAAGAAAAGCAGCAGGUUAAUACCCCGCUGUUCUGACGGUACCCAAAGAAUAAGCACCGGCUAACUUCGUG